CAUUUAUUUCUGCAGAGAGGAGAAAAAAUGAGGGAAGAGACAUGAAAAAAGGAAAAAAGACGAGAGGGGAGGAGAGGAGAGGAGGUGGGAGGGCAACAUGUCGUGUAAAACCUCUCAUGUAAAAGAGAGAGGAGAGGAGGUGGAGGACAAUAUGAAAAGUGAACCGUCAUCAAAAAGAAAAACAUCUGUUUAUGUCAUACUGUCUACAUGAUACACAGGAAGAAUCCAUCUGUUCACAUUUAUUCACUGAAAAUGUAACUAUUAUCCCCCCAUCUGCAUUUUUUAGAAAGAGGAGAGGAGACACGAUUGAGGAAGAGAGUGAGGAGACGAGAAAAGGAAAGAAAAGAGGAAAAUCAGAGUGGAGGAGAGGAGAGGAGGUGGAGGGCAUUAUAAAGUGGAAACCCUCUCAUGUAAAAGUGAGAUAAUGACAGAGGAGGUGGAGAGGAGGUGGAGGACAUUACGAAGAAUGAACACUCACAUAUAAAAGCCAAGAAAACUCUGACCUGCCACUUCACAAACUACAAGUGAAACAUGUUUCUACAAAGAUUUUUCUCAUGUUCAAACUGUUCAAAAACAAGUGUUUGAAAUACAAAGUGACAA